rnacentral:rRNA from 1 species
AUUGAACGCUGGCGGAAUGCUUUACACAUGCAAGUCGAACGGUAGAGGGGGCAACCCCUUGAGAGUGGCGAACGGGUGAGUAAUAUAUCGGAACGUGCCCAGUCGUGGGGAUAACGUAGCGAAAGCUACGCUAAUACCGCAUACGAUCUAUGGAUGAAAGCGGGGGAUCGCAAGACCUCGCGCGAUUGGAGCGGCCGAUAUCAGAUUAGGUAGUUGGUGAGGUAAAGGCUCACCAAGCCGACGAUCUGUAGCUGGUCUGAGAGGACGACCAGCCACACUGGGACUGAGACACGGCCCAGACUCCUACGGGAGGCAGCAGUGGGGAAUUUUUGGACAAUGGGCGCAAGCCUGAUCCAGCAAUGCCGCGUGCAGGAUGAAGGCCUC